rnacentral:rRNA from 1 species
UGAAAUCUCAACAGGCCCGGACACUGGAAGGAUUGACAGAUUGAUAGCUCUUUCUUGAUUCGGUGCGUGGUGGUGCAUGGCCGUUCUUAGUUGGUUGAGUGAUUUGUCGGCUUAAUUUGACUCAACACGGGAAAUCUCACCAGGCCCGGACACUGGAAGGAUUGACAGAUUGAUAGCUCUUUCUUGUUAGCAAUAA